rnacentral:rRNA from 1 species
CAUCCUCCAAGGCUAAAUACUCCUGACUGACCGAUAGUGAACCAGUACCGUGAGGGAAAGGCGAAAAGAACCCCGGCGAGGGGAGUGAAAAAGAACCUGAAACCGUGUACGUACAAGCAGUGGGAGCACAGGUUUACCUGUGUGACUGCGUACCUUUUGUAUAAUGGGUCAGCGACUUAUAUUCUGUAGCAAGGUUAACCGAAUAGGGGAGCCGGAGGGAAACCGAGUCUUAAUUGGGCGUUAAGUUGCAGGGUAUAGACCCGAAACCCGGUGAUCUAGCCAUGGGCAGGUUGAAGGUUGGGUAACACUAACUGGAGGACCGAACCGACUAAUGUUGAAAAAUUAGCGGAUGACCUGUGGCUGGGGGUGAAAGGCCAAUCAAACCGGGAGAUAGCUGGUUCUCCCCGAAAGCUAUUUAGGUAGCGCCUCGUGAAUUCAUCUCCGGGGGUAGAGCACUGUUUCGGCUAGGGGGCCAUCCCGGCUUACCAACCCGAUGCAAACUGCGAAUACCGGAGAAUGUUAUCACGGGAGACACACGGCGGGUGCUAACGUCCGUCGUGAAGAGGGAAACAACCCAGACCGCCAGCUAAGGUCCCAAAGUCAUGGUUAAGUGGGAAACGAUGUGGGAAGGCCCAGACAGCCAGGAUGUUGGCUUAGAAGCAGCCAUCAUUUAAAGAAAGCGUAAUAGCUCACUGGUCGAGUCGGCCUGCGCGGAAGAUGUAACGGGGCUAAACCAUGCACCGAAGCUGCGGCAGCGACACUGUGUGUUGUUGGGUAGGGGAGCGUUCUGUAAGCCUGUGAAGGUGGCCUGUGAGGGUUGCUGGAGGUAUCAGAAGUGCGAAUGCUGACAUAAGUAACGAUAAAGCGGGUGAAAAGCCCGCUCGCCGGAAGACCAAGGGUUCCUGUCCAACGUUAAUCGGGGCAGGGUGAGUCGACCCCUAAGGCGAGGCCGAAAGGCGUAGUCGAUGGGAAACGGGUUAAUAUUCCCGUACUUGGUGUUACUGCGAAGGGGGGACGGAGAAGGCUAUGUUGGCCGGGCGACGGUUGUCCCGGUUUAAGCGUGUAGGUGUGUGUUCCAGGUAAAUCCGGUUCACUUUAACACUGAGGCGUGAUGACGAGGCACUACGGUGCUGAAGCAACAAAUGCCCUGCUUCCAGGAAAAGCCUCUAAGCAUCAGGUAACAUCAAAUCGUACCCCAAACCGACACAGGUGGUCAGGUAGAGAAUACCAAGGCGCUUGAGAGAACUCGGGUGAAGGAACUAGGCAAAAUGGUGCCGUAACUUCGGGAGAAGGCACGCUGACA